AGUCGAACGGUGAACACGGAGCUUGCUCUGUGGGAUCAGUGGCGAACGGGUGAGUAACACGUGAGCAACCUGCCCCUGACUCUGGGAUAAGCGCUGGAAACGGCGUCUAAUACUGGAUACGAACCAUGAAGGCAUCUUCAGUGGUUGGAAAGAUUUAUUGGUUGGGGAUGGGCUCGCGGCCUAUCAGCUUGUUGGUGAGGUAAUGGCUCACCAAGGCGUCGACGGGUAGCCGGCCUGAGAGGGUGACCGGCCACACUGGGACUGAGACACGGCCCAGACUCCUACGGGAGGCAGCAGUGGGGAAUAUUGCACAAUGGGCGCAAGCCUGAUGCAGCAACGCCGCGUGAGGGAUGACGGCCUUCGGGUUGUAAACCUCUUUUAGCAGGGAAGAAGCGAAAGUGACGGUACCUGCAGAAAAAGCGCCGGCUAACUACGUGCCAGCAGCCGCGGUAAUACGUAGGGCGCAAGCGUUAUCCGGAAUUAUUGGGCGUAAAGAGCUCGUAGGCGGUUUGUCGCGUCUGCUGUGAAAUCCGGAGGCUCAACCUCCGGCCUGCAGUGGGUACGGGCAGACUAGAGUGCGGUAGGGGAGAUUGGAAUUCCUGGUGUAGCGGUGGAAUGCGCAGAUAUCAGGAGGAACACCGAUGGCGAAGGCAGAUCUCUGGGCCGUAACUGACGCUGAGGAGCGAAAGGGUGGGGAGCAAACAGGCUUAGAUACCCUGGUAGUCCACCCCGUAAACGUUGGGAACUAGUUGUGGGGUCCAUUCCACGGAUUCCGUGACGCAGCUAACGCAUUAAGUUCCCCGCCUGGGGAGUACGGCCGCAGGCUA
rnacentral:rRNA from 1 species